rnacentral:rRNA from 1 species
UUGAGUUUGAUCMUGGCUCAGAUUGAACGCUGGCGGCAGGCCUAACACAUGCAAGUCGAGCGGAAACGAUGGAAGCUUGCUUCCAGGCGUCGAGCGGCGGACGGGUGAGUAAUGCAUGGGAAUCUGCCCGAUAGUGGGGGAUAACCUGGGGAAACCCAGGCUAAUACCGCAUACGUCCUACGGGAGAAAGCAGGGGAUCUUCGGACCUUGCGCUAUCGGAUGAGCCCAUGUCGGAUUAGCUUGUUGGUGAGGUAAUGGCUCACCAAGGCGACGAUCCGUAGCUGGUCUGAGAGGAUGAUCAGCCACAUCGGGACUGAGACACGGCCCGAACUCCUACGGGAGGCAGCAGUGGGGAAUAUUGGACAAUGGGCGAAAGCCUGAUCCAGCCAUGCCGCGUGUGUGAAGAAGGCCCUCGGGUUGUAAAGCACUUUCAGUGGGGAAGAAAGCCUUGGGAUUAAUACUACCCG